GCUCGAUAGUAGUGGGUUCUUAGAACUUAGUAUUAGCGUCAACUUUGGUAUCCUAUCCUCCACUGCUAAAUUUGGC
rnacentral:sRNA from 1 species